UACGAACUGUGCGAACGUUAUUCGGAAUCACUGGGCUUACAGGGUGCGUAGGCGGCUUGUCAAGUAGGGUGUGAAAGCCCCCGGCUCAACCGGGGAAUUGCGCCCUAAACUGGCGAGCUAGAGUGAGAUAGGGGUGUGUGGAACUUCCGGUGGAGCGGUGAAAUGUGUUGAUAUCGGAAGGAACGCCGGUGGCGAAAGCGACACACUGGAUCUUGUCUGACGCUGAGGCACGAAAGCCCAGGGGAGCGAAACGGG
rnacentral:rRNA from 1 species